rnacentral:rRNA from 1 species
GAUGAACGCUGGCGGCGUGCCUAAUACAUGCAAGUCGAGCGAACAGACGAGGAGCUUGCUCCUCUGACGUUAGCGGCGGACGGGUGAGUAACACGUGGAUAACCUACCUAUAAGACUGGGAUAACUUCGGGAAACCGGAGCUAAUACCGGAUAAUAUAUUGAACCGCAUGGUUCAAUAGUGAAAGACGGUUUUGCUGUCACUUAUAGAUGGAUCCGCGCCGCAUUAGCUAGUUGGUAAGGUAACGGCUUACCAAGGCAACGAUGCGUAGCCGACCUGAGAGGGUGAUCGGCCACACUGGAACUGAGACACGGUCCAGAAUCCUACGGGAGGCAGCAGUAGGGAAUCUGCCGCAAUGGGCGAAAGCCUGACGGAGCAACGCCGCGUGAGUGAUGAAGGUCUUCGGAUCGUAAAACUCUGUUAUUAGGGAAGAACAAAUGUGUAAGUAACUAUGCACGUCUUGACGGUACCUAAUCAGAAAGCCACGGCUAACUACGUG